rnacentral:pre_miRNA from 1 species
UAGGUAGUUUCAUGUUGUUGGGCCUGGAUUUCUGAACACAACGACAUUAAACCACCCGAC